GGCUAACACUGGCAUAGAAAGGAUGUAAUUUGACCAAAGCAUCAGUGGUUGAAGGUACAAUUUGCAACAUUCCUGCUGCCACCUACAGGCAACCCUGUGCACCACCCGUGAUGUCUGGGGGAAAAGAACCCUCGAUGAUUCUCUGCCCUGCCGGUCGGGGCAGACGAAACUGGUACCACUGAACGCAGAGGUCGAGUGCGCCGGGACCUGGCAUCGGUUAAGACACCCAGCAGCCUUCCCAGGUACAUAUGGUAUGACAGCAGAAGACAGAGAUAAGCUAAGGAGAGAACUAAUUAGUUUGCAAGAAGAAACUGGACAUGAAGAAAACACAGAACUUUCUGGUUUGAAAAAUAAAAUCGUUUCACAUUUUCAGACUUUCCAGGUGGCAACUCUCAGUAUAAUCAAAGGCCUCAGGGUAAAGACCAAAUCAAGGAUAUGGAUG